ACUACAAGAUAACGAAGAAUUAAAAUACAAACUUCUCCGCAAACAUGAUAUUACGAAGAUGGUAAAAUGUUUGCAAAUAAGCACUAUAGUAGCAACAUGUAUUAUAUCAAAUGAAUAAUUUCAACUCGACCAGUUAACGUCGCAUAUGACAGAUAAGGUAUAUUAAUAAAAUCAAAGACCGCUGGAGAUGAUGCAAAGAUCACGAAAAGAAAUCGACAAGACGAUUGCGCAUAAUGUGGAAACGUAUCUACAGGAAAAUGGUGAAAAUUAUGAUUCAUCGGUUCAAAGUUACUUAACAUCUUCUCAAAGAUUGUUCUACGCCCAGAAGGCAACAUUGGUGCAACAACAGUAUUUUGUGAUUCAGUGAUGAAAGAAAAUUUUCACGUGACAGACGUACGCCACCGACACGAGUACACCAUAAGUUCCGAGGGAUGAGGGCGAGCGUGCACGUAUAACGUUACAUACCUUAUCAAAUGAUCGCCACCCUGCGGGUCGGCUCUCGGUUAUUGACGGAAUGAUGAAAGUUUUCGGUGACUGGAUCUCAAAAAUCAGUCAAAUCGUUCGGUGAAGGUUGAAUCUUCGUUUGUAUGGCGACCAAUGCCUAUCGAAAUCUUCCGCAACCGAUUCUUCGUUUAAAAUGUCGAGAAAAAACAUUCGUUCGCUCGUUCGUAACUGCUUAAAAGUUACGAGCGAAUUUUAACGCACCGAUCGGAUUACGUUAUAAUCGUUUUUCGUGUCGAAAAAUACGUUAAAUCUGGCGAAAUCCGUAAAACCUCCUCCCACGAACACACCACCGAGCAAGAGCUCUUAGGAAGAUUCGCAAAUGCAUCCAACACGAGCACAUUCGAUUUUGUAACUCGAACUUCGAGGGUUUGAACUCGAUAAUCGAAGCUAAUAGCAUGGAAUCGAUUACUCGGAUUCAAAUUAGGAAUAUAACAGAAUAAAAUUACAGAAUUUCACUGAGUUGCAUCAAUAUUUUUUAUUUACACUUAGUAAUUUUAAUAAACACACAUGGUAUCAGCAAAGUAAGCACUCAGUGCAUAAAAUUUAUAUAACGCUGUGGCGAGUAAAGUUUUAUCUUUUGAAAAGAUGAAACUGUUUCCAUUUUCUAGCUAUAGGUUCACUUCCAGAACGCCACCUCGUGGUUUACCGUUUAAAGAAUAAGAGUAAAAAAUGGACUACUUGAAUCUUUUACAUCUCUAUCAUUAACAAAGCUUUUAUCACAGGCCAUCUGUGUUUUUAUCUUUUUUUCAUUUUAUCAUUAAAGUAUAUAUAUUGUAUUUGAAAAAAGCUUAGAUUUAUAUAAAUCAAAAGAAGUAAUAUUGGAGAUAAUAAAAUAUUGAGAAAUCAAAUUGUGUAAUUCAUAUUCUAAAUUUGAAAACUUUGUAACUUAAUAUUAACAUUUAUCAUAUAUUAUGUAAAUAUAAAUCUCUAACAGAUCAGGACCACAUACAAAACACAAUAAACUAUCUCAAAGAAAUCAAUAUGUUCAACAAGAUAUAAGACUGAAGCAGUAGAUGCGAUGUAAAAUUUAAAAAACGAAGAACAAAUAUAAAUAUAUAUUUUAAAUAACAAAUUAUGUAGUACAUAAAUAUCAGCAAUCUAUAUUAUUAAGUACAUAUUAGUUAAAAUAAAUAAAUUUACUCAAAUAUAUUAUUAUUUAUGUUCAGCACAAAAUUCUAUAAAAAUUCCCAUUGAAGGGUAGAAGUGCCAUUGCUGUGCAGAGUUAUUUCAUCGGUAUUAAACAGAGGUAUCACAGGGUGUAAGAAGAUAUAACCAAGAAUAGAAUGGAAUGUCCAGUUUUUAUUAGAGCAUAUCUUUCCCAUAGAUUCCUACUAAGCAAUUAUAAAAAAUUUGGUUAAAUUGGUCAGAAAGUAUUUUAGGGACUGUAAGAAAUGUAAUAUAUAUUUACAUAGCCAUUCAAUUAUAAAUAUAUUGAAUAACAAAUAAUUAUAAAUAAUGAUAAGCACAUAGGAGAAAUCUGCAAGUAUAUAAAUCAACUGAUAGAGUGCUAUUAUGAUGAUAUGUUGAUACAG